rnacentral:rRNA from 1 species
UACGUAGGGGGCUAGCGUUGUCCGGAAUCAUUGGGCGUAAAGCGCGUGUAGGCGGUCCGGUAAGUCCGCUGUGAAAGUCGGGGGCUCAACCCUCGGAUGCCGGUGGAUACUGUCGGGCUUGAGUACGGAAGAGGCGAGUGGAAUUCCUGGUGUAGCGGUGAAAUGCGCAGAUAUCAGGAGGAACACCAAUUGCGAAGGCAGCUCGCUGGGACGUUACUGACGCUGAGACGCGAAGGCGUGGGGAGCGAACAGG